AGAGUUUGAUCUGGCUCAGGACGAACGCUGGCGGCGUGCCUAAUACAUGCAAGUCGAGCGAAUCACUUCGGUGGUUAGCGGCGGACGGGUGAGUAACACGUGGGCAACCUGCCUGUAAGACUGGGAUAACACCGGGAAACCGGUGCUAAUACCGGAUAAUCCUUUUCCUCUCAUGAGGAAAAGCUGAAAGUCGGUUUCGGCUGNCACUUACAGAUGGGCCCGCGGCGCAUUAGCUAGUUGGUGAGGUAACGGCUCACCAAGGCGACGAUGCGUAGCCGACCUGAGAGGGUGAUCGGCCACACUGGGACUGAGACACGGCCCAGACUCCUACGGGAGGCAGCAGUAGGGAAUCUUCCACAAUGGACGAAAGUCUGAUGGAGCAACGCCGCGUGAGCGAUGAAGGCCUUCGGGUCGUAAAGCUCUGUUGUUAGGGAAGA
rnacentral:rRNA from 1 species